rnacentral:rRNA from 1 species
UACGAAGGGGGGCUAGCGUUGCUCGGAAUCACUGGGCGUAAAGCGCACGUAGGCGGGUCUUUAAGUCAGGGGUGAAAUCCCGGAGCUCAACUCCGGAACUGCCUUUGAUACUGAGGAUCUUGAGUUCGAGAGAGGUGAGUGGAACUGCGAGUGUAGAGGUGAAAUUCGUAGAUAUUCGCAAGAACACCAGUGGCGAAGGCGGCUCACUGGCUCGAUACUGACGCUGAGGUGCGAAAGCGUGGGGAGCAAACAGG